GCCAGCCAGGGGGACCCGCCAGCGGUCCAGUGCUUCCUCAUUUGGCUCCGUAGCAAAGCAGGAUGCUUCUUUCUGAUUUCUCCUCCUGAUAGCAGGGCACCCAGAUCAAAGGACGGAGCGCUCCAAACAAUACUGGGAACGUCUGCACAGCGACGAUCUAGAAAGUGUGUGAAGCCAGAGAGUUUGCAGCUCCUAGAAGAGCAGGCGGCACCUCACAGAAAGUCUCUGAAGAUGUAGGACUGACCAGCCCCCGUGAUCCCAGGACUUCUUAAGAUUUGUUGCACAGACGCUAGAGGCGAUGCAAGGCUUGAGGUGGAGAGGUGGGGGCUUUCCUCUGUGCCCCCCCUACUCAAGGGGAGCCCCGGAGACUUGGAAGUGAGCUUGAGUUGCUUCCAGCCAUGUGCCUUGGGAGUCCUACAGAAAAGUGGCUUCCGACUUCCACGGUCUGCUCUGCCUCGGAAGUUGGGUCACCGGCAUUUUUGAGUUUUCAGUGCUGGCCACGUUCCUCCUCCUCUUCUCUGAAAAAGGCUUGUAGCCUAGAUCUAUUUGCAUUUGGAGUGAAAGUGAUUUGGAGACUUUUGAAAAGAAUUUCCCUGACGCCCUGUGAAUGGACCGGAAGCUACUUUGAGAGCUUGAAGACGCGUUGGGAGCGUCUUUCUUUCAGACUUGACACCACACAAUUGACUGCUGGUCUCCCUGCAGUGAUGUCGGCCGCCUCUGCCCUCGCGCGGCCUCCUGCUGCGCAGGGUGGGCGUCCCUGCCCUGGGCUUUGAGCUUGGCUGUGUGACUUUCUUGGGCCAACGCCCUGGAAGACAUGACAUGACAUGUGUGAAGCCCUGAACGUGCUUUGAUGGGGGGGGCUGGCCCUCUCGGGUGCCCGUCUUUGCCCUGAGAUGAAUGUCCCCUGGGAAACCACUGGCCCAAGGGGGAAGAGAAACACACCAAGCAGAGCAGAAACCAAGCCAAGGCCAGCUGACCCACAGAUGGGUGGACAAAAGUGAAUGCUGA